GACGGCCAUAAUAUAAGAAGUAUCAGCCGGCUUGCACGUCCCAAUCCGAGCGUAGCGUAUACAGUCCCAGCCGUGUAGUCGAGACACGAGAGGAUGUGGUGAAGCCGGUGAGCUCCCCGUCGCUGCCCGCUUUCGAGGACGAGGGGGAGGACCUGGAGGCCAAGCCGGAGAAGGCGCCCGCCGUCCGGCCGUAUGCGGCGACGGAGCGGUCCGUCCACCUCGUGCCGCUCAUCGUCCUGCUCUGCUUCGUCGUCCUCUUCAUCUGCUCCCACGUCCCCUCCCCCUCUGAUAUGUCGAGCUUCGGAGGGAAGGCCGGGGGACGGAAGCCCAAGCUGCUCUGACGCGGACCAAGGAAGGAGACGAUCAUGACAAGAGCUCAAGGACUGAGGACGCGAUAUGCCAAAAAGAUGUGGACGUUUUCUGCUUUCUUUCUUGAUCUCAGCUGUGUUAGGCAGUAAGCUGUACUGAUCUCGCUGCACCGAUAAUAAAACACAUACAGAACGCAAUAGUGCUGCUCUGAUGAUUCUCAUCA